rnacentral:rRNA from 1 species
CGGUGGAGCAUGUUGGUUUAAUUUCGAAGCAACGCGAAGAACCUUACCAGGUCUUGACAUCCCGAUGCUAUUUCUAGAGAUAGAAAGUUACUUCGGUACAUCGGUGACAGGUGGUGCAUGGUUGUCGUCAGCUCGCGUCGUGAGAUGUUGGGUUAAGUCCCGCAACGAGCGCAACCCCUAUUGUUAGUUGCCAUCAUUCAGUUGGGCACUCUAGCGAGACUGCCGGUAAUAAACCGGAGAAGUGGGGAUGACGUCAAAUCAUCAUGCCCCUUAUGACCUGGGCUACACACGUGCUACAAUGGUUGGUACAACGAGUUGCGAGUCGGUGACGGCGAGCUAAUCUCUUAAAGCCAAUCUCAGUUCGGAUUGUAGGCUGCAACUCGCCUACAUGAAGUCGGAAUCGCUAGUAAUCGCGGAUCAGCACGCCGCGGUGAAUACGUUCCCGGGCCUU